GAUUAUUAACGUCACAAUAAGAUUCGAGAGUGAUCAGGACUUGAUUAUCUAAAUCCUCAGCAUACUUAUAGCAAGGGCAACUAGUGCCAAGUAUGCUAUUAAAUGUGGGGCAACAUUCAUCAAUUGAAGUUGUGUUGAACAUGCAAGUCUUCACUUUUUCUUGGUCACUAGCCGGGCAACUCGGUUUUGGGGGUGGGCUCUGUAUUUAUAAAUGAAAGAAUCAUUUUACUAAUUUGAAGAAUAAUUUUAAUUAGAAUUUUAAAAAUGCAUAAUACAUAAAUAUGUCUUUUAACUUGGCUUCAAAUCACAUUUAUGCCCUUCAAUUUUCGGUGUGCACAAGUAGACACUUAAAUUUGUAUAAAGUGGAACAAAUAGACACACAUGUCCUACAUGACAUCCUACAUGUCAUUUUUUUUAUCCUACAUGGUGUCCUACGUAUAUUAUGCCAUGUAGGACUCAUGUGUCUACUUAUUCAACUUUACACAAGUUUAAGUGUUUACUUGUGCAUACUCAAAGUUGAAGGACAUAAACGUAAAAUGAGGUCAAAUUAAAGGGAACAUUUAUAUAUUAUGCCUUUUAAAAAAUAGAAAUAUUAAUUUUAUUAUUUCUUGAAUUCCAUCCUUACUAUUUAAAAAGAUAAUAAUUAUAUUAAAAUAAAUUUUUUAAUGAUAUAGAUAAAGAUGAAAACUUACCCUACAAGGGGUAACAACAUCACAAUAAGCUUCGAGAGUGAUCAAGACUUGAUUGUCCAAAUCCUCAGCAUACUUAUAACAAGGGCAACUAGUGCCAAGUAUGCUUUGGAAUGUCGGACAACAUUCAUCAAUUGAAGUUGUGUUGAACAUGCAUUUCUUCACCUUUGCUUUGUCACCUGGCGAACAAGUUGUUGCCGGGGCGGGAGGGGGAGGGGGAGGGCUUGGUGGUGGAGGUGGUGGUGAUCGUGGUGGUGGAGGUGGUGGACAUGGUCGUGGUUUUGGAGGAGGGCAUGGAUAUGGUCGUGGAAAGGGAAAUGGCCAUGGUAAAUAGCAUGGGAUUUCCCAUGGCCAUAAUUGUAACUUGUUCCCAUCCUCGACCACGUCCACGUCCACAACAACUUCUCUUGCCACGACCACUUGGUGGUGGCUGCAAAACAUAAUUGCAGCCACCACUAACAUCAUAAACAUCUUCAUAGUUGCCAUAUUGUGAGUG
rnacentral:lncRNA from 1 species